CUGCAACUCGCCUACAUGAAGUCGGAAUUGCUAGUAAUCGCGGAUCAGCAUGCCGCGGUGAAUACGUUCCCGGGCCUUGUACACACCGCCCGUCACACCAUGGGAGUCGGUAACACCCGAAGCCUGUAGUCUAACCGCAAGGGGACGCAGUCGAAGGUGGGAUUGAUGACUGGGGUGAAGUCGUAACAAGGUACC
rnacentral:rRNA from 1 species